UAUACAUAUAUACAUAUAUACAUAUAUCAAAUAUGUAUAUUGUAUUUUAACCAAAAUUUAACAAUUUUGACUUACAAACGUUUCAAAAAAUAAAUUACUGACUCUUAAGACACUUCAAUUAGUGCCUUUUGGUAGUUUAGCUACACAUAUAUAUAUAUAUGUACCAUAGUUUCUUUUUCUGUUUUUGUUAUAUUGAAAUAACUUUAUCGUUUUCAAAUGUUUUAGUAAUACCCUUUAAGGAUAUGUUUUUAUUAACAAGGGAAUAUAUAUAUAAUUAUUUGUUAUAAAUACUAUGAAUGACUUAACUAAAUUUUUUUUUUUUUUUUUUAAUUAUUUAAUGUGAUAUUAUUUUAUUCCUAUCGAGAAUAAAACUCUAAACACAUACAUACGUAUACGUACUCAUAUGUACAUAUAUAUAUAUAUAUAUAUAUGUAUAUACAUAUGCAUACACGGGUGUGCAAGACGCGUGUACUCGCUAUGUAAUGAACACACGAACAUCAUUUUUAUAGAAUACUAGAAAAAUGAAAAACUCAAAUAUAAAUAGUAAAAGAAUUGAAAGUGAAAGCACAAAUGCUAAUAAAGAAAAUAAUAAAAGUAAUGCAAGUUCAUUUAUAAAUCGUUCUUGUAUAAUAUGGAUUGAAAAAGAAAGGUUAGACUCUGUUAUAAGGAUUCCAUUAUAUACAGAUUUGUCAAAAUAUAUUGACUUAGAUUUAAUUAAACAUUCAACAAAGGAAACAAAUAAAAAUGAACAAGUUUCGAAUAUUUUUAUUCUUUUUGAUGAUAUCAGUUGUAAUAUAGCUGUUGAUAUAUCGCCAAUCUAUAAAACACAAACAAACAAAAUACCAUUGUUAGUAUUUGAACAGUACUAUUUUUGGAGCUUACAUUUUAUAUUUGAAAAGAGUGUACUAAAAAGACAGAAAAUAAAAACAACAAAAGGUAGUAACAUAAAGGCUUGCAUAGAAAAACAUAACUCUUAUUAUGAUAAUAUUUACAUGUACACUUCUAUUUAUAAUAGCGCAUACAGCAAGUAUGAAGAAAAAAGUAACAGCUCUCUUAACAAUAAUGGAUUUUCUAAAAAAAACAGAAAUAACAAUAUAAAUAAAAAGCUGUUAACAUCUUCUUUUAACAAAUGCAUAAAACGUAAGUGCCCGAACGAAAUAACAAAAAAAAGUGGAAAAUGUAGCACAAGUAUUGGUGCACAGGGUGGAUAUACAAGUCCAAACUCAAAUACUAUAUGCAACGGUACUUUUUGUUCAAUUGCAGAACCUGAAUGGUAUCGCUUAAAAAUAAAAAUCGAAAAUAUUAAAAAAGAUAAAAAAAAAAAAAAGUUUUAUAAUUAUUUUAAUUUAAAUAGUUAUAAUAGUAUAAACUCUGAUAAACAAGACUUCAAAACUGAUUUGCAUAAUGAUAAUAAUGAUAAUAAUAAUAAUGAUAAUAAUAAUAAUAAUAAUAAUAAUGAUAAUGAUAAUGAUAAUAAUAAUAAUAAUAAUAAUCAUACAUGCAUAAGUAGAUGUAUAGUGAAUGCAGGGGAAAAACAAAUGAGCACACAUGGUAUGAGUUUAAGUAAUACUACUGCCUUUGUUAGUGAUACUACUUGUUUUGAUGGUGAUACCACUGCUUCUGUUGGUGGUAUUACUAAUUAUAAUAUAAAUACCACUUUAUGCAACGGUUGUACUACUGUAUCUAUUAGUGGUCAUAACAAUCGAAAGCGAAAAAGAAAAGUCAGUUGCAGUUGCAGUUGCAGUUGCAUGCAUAAAUCCUCUCCCAAUGAAAUUAUAUCACAUAUUAAAAAAAAAGAAGAACCCGCAAAACUAAAAAAUAAUGUAAUCACAAUAGAUGACAAUGCAACUAAUGACAAUCACAUGACAACUGAAUUAGUUUCAAAAUAUAAUAACGAGUGUGUAUCACUUUAUAAUAAAGUAGUAACAAAUCAUAUAGACGUUUUAAGCAUGCGUGAGUUAAGCCUAACUGAAAAAAAAAAAAAAAAUAAUAAUAAUAAUAAUAACAAUAAUAAUAAUUAUAAUAAUAAUAACAAUAAUAAUAAUAAUAACAAUAAUAAUAAUAAUAACAAUAAUAAUAAUAAUAAUAAUAACAAUAAUAACAAUAAUAAUAAUAAUAAUAAUAACAAUAAUAAUAAUAAUAACAAUAAUAAUAAUAAUAAUAAUAAUAAUACAAAUUUUACAGACAAAUGCAAAAUGAAAAACGAAAUACAACUACUACUACUACCAAUGAAUAACGACAUAAACAAAUGCACUAAUAGCACUGAUAACAAACACAAGAAAAAAGAUAUGAUGUUCGAUAUUCCAUUAUACGAAAGUCAUACAUCGAAUAAUAACGAAAACAUACAAAACUGCUCCCAUUUUAACAUGUACAUAAAUGAUAUGCUAAAAAGUAUAAUGAACAAAGAAAACAAAUCACAAUUAAAUGCAGACGUUACAAGUAUAAAAAGGAUAGAAGCUUUUUAUAAAAGAAAUUAUAAAAUUUUUAUUAUAAAUGAUCAUAAUAAAGAAUUAUUAUUUAAUAAAAAAAAAUCACCUAAAGACAAUAAUAGUUUAUAUGUUUUUUUAGAUUCCUAUGUAAAAAGAGAUAAUGAAUGGAAAAACAUAACAGUCGAAAAAGAAGAUGAUGAAGAAAAACACGAAUAUAAGGACGAAGAAAAAAAUCAACAAAUAAAUAGCUAUGAUAGUUUAUUCAACCAGUUCGAACAAGUAUUACUAAUGUGGGAUGUAACAUUAAAUAGUAUAAACAAACAAAAAAAAUGUAACUCACAUCAAAAAAAAAUACAUAAUAAUAUAGAUACGGAAUAUUUAAAAGGAACUGGAAAAAAUGAAGACAAGUACAGUGACUCGUGUACAAAUUUCACAGAUUAUAAAAAAAAUAUUCAUGCAGGAAAAACACAGUUAAACGGGCUAAGCGAGGAACGUUGUCUAACCGAUUUAACUGGUGUAAAAGGUACAACCGAUCUAAUCGACGGAAAUUGUCCUACCGAACCACCCGAUGCAAUAUUUCAAGUGAGGAACUCAAAAUAUAUACAAUUUUUAAAAGAAGGAGAUCACAUAUAUAUAAUGUUUGACGAAGACAUGUAUGACGAAAUAAUAGUGUUGCAAAAAAAAAAAAUUAUACAAAUUUUAAUUUAUUUAUUAAGUAUUCAAAAAAUAAUAAAAUUAAUUGAUAUUUCGACAUAUGCUCCACCAUUGUUAUGGAAUAUCAUAUUACAUUUUAAAGAGGAUGUUUAUAAUAUUGAAUUGUGUCUAGACAAAAUAAGAGCUAAGUAUUUUUCCAUUAACAGUAAUAAAUGGUUUCGUAGUGACUGUGAUGCGCGUCCUAUUCAUUCUGAUUUUAGUAACAAUAAUAAAAGCUCAACAAAUGGAUUAAAAAAUAUUUGUAACAAAGAAUAUAAAAAAAUAAUAGAACAAAUGGAAAUAAUAGAUUCGGUGUAUUUUUUAGAUAACUUUUUACAAAGUAUAAAUGAAAAAAAGCUAAAACAAAUAAAAAAAGUUCAAAGUUUAAAAUCUUAUAAAAAAUAUGAAUAUGAUAGAAAAAUAAAUCAACUUAAUAAAAAUGAACUUAUUAGCUUAUUCAUAGACAAAAAAAAUGAAAUCAAUAUUUUACCCUUAUGUUAUUUAAAUGAGAAAAAUCGAAAUAUUAUAUACGAGGAAAACAUGAAAAUGAAUAUGUUUGCAUGUAUAAAAAUUGUAUUGGACGAAAUAAAAGGAAGGUGUAUAUAUGCUGUUAGUAAUAUAUAUAAAUUUGAUUUUGUUUUUGAAUAUAUAGGUAAAUUAUUAACGCAUGAACAAGCAUUAAAACAAGAACAAAAAUAUAUAAAAACUGAACAAGGUUGUUAUAUGUUUUAUUUCCGAUAUCAAAAUAAAAAGUAUUGUAUAGAUAGUACAGAUGAAAAUAUUGAAGCUGCUAUCAAUAAUCAAAAUAAAAAACACUUUCUUAGGUCAUUUGCUAGGCUUGUUAAUCACUCUAAAAAAAAGCAAACCUAAUAGCCAAAGUGCUACCAGUUUAUGGUAUACCUAGACUCUUUUUUGUUGCUUCAAGAAAUAUAGAAGCAGGCGAAGAGUUGUUAAUUGAUUAUGGUGAGAGAGAUAAAGAUAUAAUUAAAGAUAAUCAAUGGCUUAAAUGUUAGUACCCGUGUAAAACUGCUCAUAUGAUAAUAACU
rnacentral:lncRNA from 1 species